AUCCCUCAAAAUCCAAACUACUCAAAUGAAAUGCUGGCAAUUCAAUAUUUACUUGCUAUACAACCGAAAGUCCUCAAAUGUAUUAAAGAUAUCAAAUAUGUAGAGAACCAAUGAUAACAUUUUCUAUCAUAACUGCAUGUAUCCCAAAGAAACAUGUACUGUGUAAUCUAAUAAAGUCAUACAACCUAUGAAGCAUGGCUCAAUUUGGUGGAUCGAUAGGCUCCAAAACUGCUCAACUUGGCUGCUAUCUAUCUGAUAAGGAAAAAGGGUAAAAGAAAUAUGAGCUAAUAGCUCAGUGAGUGGAUAAUUUGCAAAUAAGUAAACUUUUUUCAUUUAUGCAUAUUUUCUUAAAAUUCUUGCUCUAUUAAAACUUUGAGAAUUCUGAAAUCUGAUAAAACCUUUAAAACUAAAACAUGACUGCAUCAUAAGAUUCUUUGUUCUUUAUUCGAGAUAAAUAACUGUAAAGUAUAACAAAUUUUGGUACCCAUGAAAAUUUAUGAAAUAUUGUUGUUACUUAAUACUAUAAACUGAAAGCUUUAUUCUUAGAACUGAAUAACUGAAUUCUAUAAUCUGGUCAUACAUACGUAGAGCUGCAUUUACCUUAAUGUACUCAUUAUUCUUGAUGUAUGUAUCAUAACAUCGUAUAAACUCAGAAGAUGAGAAGAACUAAGAAAAACCAGAAACUUAGAAAGAACGGCCACCUCUUUCUUCUUCUUCUUCUUCUUCUUCUUCUUCUAUUUCUUUCCUUUUUCUUUUUUUUUUCUUUUUUUUCUCUCUUCGUCUCUUCUAGAUUUUUCUAGACAAUGCCGUUUCCUCUCUCUCUGUGUAUAUAUUUGUGUAAAUGAAUUGGAAAGAAAUGGGUUUUUAAUGGGGCACAACUCAAAUUUGCAAAAUAAGUCCCUCUUCUCCAAUUUAAUAUAACAUUUAGUCCUUUCAUUUUCCCAUAAUAAAAACUAAAUCCUUGGAUUCAUUUAUCAUAUCAUUUCUAUCCCUCAAGUACUCCAAAUUACAAUCUAAGUCCCAUGAAAAUUAUUUGUUCAACUUAAAUCCUUAUUGGCUUUGACUUUGACUAGUCAACCUUUGAUUUUUGACUAAGAAAAAUUGGGUUGUAACAAUCUUACCUCCUUAAAAGAAUUUCGUCCUCGAAAUUUAGAGAACUAGAAUUCGAACACAUAAAGGCAUAAAACGCAAACGAUGAAUGAUUUUUUUGGCAAUCUUGAACUAGACAUAAUUCGUUAUUUCAUAUGUUUCAUCUUUAUUUGGAUUUUUCCUAAGUUGAGCUCUCUUUAACUUCACUGGUAAUCUUAAAGCAUAAGUUAGAUCUGAUAUCUAUUCACCAAGCCUUAGAAAUAGAUAAUACAUUCUUAAAUACUAGAUAAACCCAUUGUAAACUCCAUCAUUAAACAAUUGAUCCAAAUUUCAAAUAACAAUUCACAGAUCAAUCUAUGAUAUGCUCAGCUUUUCAUUUUACCAAAUCUUAGAAAAAAUUAGCUAUUUCACAAUUUGAAAUUCAAAAUACUACUUUUCAUAUUCUUCAAAACUUUAUCUCAUGUCAUGAUUUGAACUAUUCUCUAAUCAACUCCUUUAUAUAUAUAUAUAACAAUGGUUACAUACUAAGACCGAACAACAUUCUUUCACCAAUGUCAUCACAAUAAUUGUCCUUAGAAUAUUUCACUAUCUAAGUAUAACCUUAAACAUCGUAACUUGUAUCUAGUUCUCAUAUGUUGAUUCCAUGAAAUUAAAAAAUAAUCCAAUGUCCCCUUUAAUUAACAAACUAUAGUUGCUAGCCUUUUUGUCGACUUGUCUUCUUACAUUCUAUUAAAAGAAGCUGUACACUGUAAUUUAGUUAUAACUUCCCAUAACUAGGCUAAAAAUAGAUACUCAAACUCCACCAUAUUAAUAAUAAUAUUAUCUAAAUAUAAUUUUAUAAAUCUACCUCAUAACAUGACUAUAUUGUUUGAAUUAAAUCUUUAACCUUUACUGAUCUUGUCAAAAAUGAUCUAAAUACCAUAUGUCUCCUGUAAUUGGAACCCAGAAUAAAAAUAUUUUAGCAUAACUAUUCCGAUUCUAAAUUAAUAAUACAUGCAAAAUUUCAAUUGUUCACGAUUUUCUAAAGUUCUAGUUAUCCCCAACAACAAUUGAAAUAACUCAAUAUGGGAUUCUUUUCCUUUCAUUCUAUAUCACCCAAUGAUAAUAUAUACAUAACUUCAAUUUCCACCAUUUCUAAUAAAAAUAUACCUUAAACUCUGAUGAUAGAUAAAUAUAGAUGUUUCUUUAACAAUCUAUAAUAUAAUCCAUAAUUCAUCAUUUAUCUCAGAAUACUUUCUAAACCUUACAUAAUCUAUUAUCAUAAAUCAAGCCCUCAUCCACUUUAGAUACGUGAGUACAUAUUUCAUCAUAAUGCAAUAUGAUAGCAAAACUUUUGACAUUUCGAAACCCACACGAUUUUGGUGCUCUUUCUUUCUAUGAAGAUACAAUAAUAACAUUUAAUCCAUGAUAAUUCUAAACUCUUAUUCCAUAAAAAGGGCAUUAAAUUAUCACCAAUACAUAAGCCUUCUUGUAUAAUGCACAAAGACCUUCAAUUAAGAUUACAACCUAAAGUUAUCAUUCCACAAUUGAAUAAAAUUUACAUGUGAUGAUAAUCUUAGACUUUAAACUAUCCAACAUAUCCUCCAUAUGUUCCACAACAUAUAGAUCUCGAUAAGAAUGGAAUACUUUAUUCGUGAGAUCCAAAAAUACAAUCGAAAAUAACCCAAACUUUACGCUACUAAAAAUCCAUUAAAUUCACCUUAACUUCCAAAUUUAGCUUGAAGCUUCUAAAUUGCAUGUAAUAUAAUAUAAUAAUCCACAAAUGACUUUGACAAAAUUAAUUAAUAAUCCAAAUAUCUCAUCAAAUUAUUUAGCUAUAGGGUAACUAUAACAUUUCUUCACUUGCUAUUCACCAUAUCACGUGACCUUGUCAUUUAUGAUCAUAGUGUAUAACUUCAAACAUUUGAUUAUCCUAUUUCCUUAGGAUCACAAAAAUAAUGCUCUUUAUAACUAUCAAGUGAUUUUCACAAAAAUGUACCAUCAACAUUCGGUAUGCUAAUUUGUCAAUUACCAUAAAUUUCAACUCUGUCAUUCUUUACUUUUUCUCUUUUCCAUAGUCUCAUUCCAUUCUGCAAGUCAUACAUGAAUAUACAUGAAAUAUGCUAAUCACUCUCUUUUCUUUUUCAAUUACUUCUUAUUCACAUAACCUAAUUGCGAACGCCGAAAAAUAGAGUAAGAAAUUUGAAUAUGAUUGCUUCUCUGUUCCUUAUUCUCUGUCUCUUUCUUUGCUCAAAUGAGGAACUAAGAUAUUAACACCAAGAUUUUAUUUUUCCUUCCUUACUAAAUAUCAUCUUGACCACUAAACUUAUUUCCCACAACUAGGAUACCAUGAUUUCGAUAACACGGUAUCUUUCCAAAUCCUUACUGAUCUUCAAAUAUCUAUAAAUAAAUUACAAGGAAAUAACCUUAGCUAAAGUUACCUUCAUAUCUAAAAUGAUCAUUCUUUCCUAGUCUCGACAAUAAGGUAACCUAUCAUCCAUGAAUUUCUUAUCAUAUCACUUCGAUGAGAAUGAAAUUCUCAAUUCAUGAAAUCCAAAAUUAUAAUUGCAGAUAUAGUAAUCCAAUAGCAACACAAAACUCAUAGAAUUCAACUUAUAAUUACAAUUUAACAUGUCGUCUCAAUCAAUUUUUAAUCUAACACAAUAAUCCCAAUUAUGGUCAUGGGAAGGGUAUUUCACUUUGUAAUCUAAAUAUAUCAUCCCCAUAUUAUUUUGACGUACCACUAAUUAUAAAUUUAGUGCACUACUAUUCACAAUGCCAUUCAGAAUCAUAAAACCUUGUAACAUUGGAUAUCAUGAUACUGUAUAAUCUCAACAUUUAAUCAUGCCAGUUUUCUCCCGUUCUUCAACUUUACGCUAUUUCUUAUUCACGUCACCCACUAAAUACACACAUAUCAACAUAAACUCCAGUCCUUUUUCCUUCAAUAGUAGUUGAAGUACAAACCUAGAUACUUGUCCUUGAAUCAACAAAAAAAAGGGCCACAGUCACAUUAAUUUACUCAAAAUCGCAAUAGUAAAACAUAUUUAAUAACAUUAUUUUCGUCGUGAAUCAACAUUUCAUAUGGUUUCAUUAUUUCUGUCAUGAACAAGAUUCCUUACUAUAUCUCCACAUCUUGACUUUCUAAUACAUGCAUUUGCUUUCAUAUACUAAAUAUGAUCACAAUUUCCCACAAUAAUUCUCAUAGUGCCUCAAUUAUUUACAUUUACAAAGCAAGCAAGGUUUCACCUUGUAAUAUCACCAACAAUACAUAAAUCAACAUUAGACAAUACUUAUCAUCCCAGGCAUCCAUAAGACAUUCCUUCUAAUAGUUAUAAAAGAUACUCAUAACUCAAUAAAUCUCAAUUAUGUGAUUGUGCAUUCCACUACUGAGAAAAGUUCUACUCUUUGAUUAACUGUCUGUUAGAUAUAUAGCCCAAUUAUUAAUAUAUUAGAGAAAAUAUAACAUAGUACCAACAUGACAACUCUAACAACCCUCCUUACCAUCGAAUAAUUCCCAAAUAACAUCCUCAUAUGUAUUAUGCUCAAAUCAAUAAUGAUCCUUCUAGUUUCUUAACUGUCAUAUCUUCAUAAUCAGGGAUAAUAUGAGUUUCAAAUACCACAUUGGAGCCUAUGAGUUCUGCCACCACGCCAGUUACUCGAGUUUAACAAUUACUGAACCUGCUCUGAUACCAAUUGACACUACCCGUCCCAAAUCACCUUAAUGGACCCGACACAUGUCGUACUGCGAUGGUAGAUACCAACAUAAAUGUCGGACCUGCCACAAAGGUAACUUUGACUUUCUUUGAUUGUGAAAUAUUUUUUUAAUUUUUUUGAUAGAGUCACCUCUAAAAUAUGGGCUAAAACCACCUGAUCAUUACCCAAUUUUCUCAAAUCAAUACAUAUAAUAUUUAAAAAAGGUACACCAGUCCCUCAAAAUCCAAACUACUCAAAUGAAAUGCUGGCAAUUUGAUAUUUACUUGCUAUACAAUCGAAAGUCCUCAAAUGUACUAAAGAUAUCAAAUUUGUAGUGAACUAAUGAUAACAUUUCUAACAUAAUUGCAUGUACCCCAAAGAAACAUAUACUGUGUAAUAUAAUAAAGUCAUACAACCUACGAAGCAUGGCUCAAUUUGGUGGAUCGACAAGCUCCAAAACUGCUCAACUCGGCUGCUAUCUGUCUGAUAAGGAAAAAGGGUAAAAGAAAUAUGAGCUAAUAGCUCAAUGAGUGGAUAAUUUGCAAAUAAGUAAACUUUUUUCCAUUUAUGCAUAUUUUCUUCAAAUUCUUGCUCUAUUAAAACUUUGAGAAUUCUGAAAUCUGAUAAAACCUUUAAAACUAAAACAUGACUGCAUCAUAAGAUUCUUUGUCCUUUAUUCGAGAUAAAUAACUGUAAAGUAUAACAAAUUUUGGUACCCAUGAAAAUCUAUAAAAUAUUGUUGUUGCUCAAUACUAUAAAUUGAAAGCUUUAUUCUUAGAACUGAAUAACUGAAUUCUAUAAUCUAGUCAUACAUACGUACAGCUGCAUUUACCUUAAUGUACUCAUUAUUCUUGAUGUCUGUAUCAUAACAUCGUAUAAACUCAAAAUUCUGGUGCUAAAUCAUAAAUUAGACUCAAGCUGAUAUAUAAAAGAAAUAUGAUAAUAAUUAAUACAAGAUGAGUGAGAACAUUAGACAAAUUCACUAAGCUAAAAUCAUAAUCUGAAAUUCAUAAGCUGAACUGUAAAUGGGAAAAUGUAAGCUGAAAGCUAAUAAUCCGGUCAAUACUUAAAAUUCACAUCAAAAUAUACUACGUGUAAUCAUCUACUGAUGAUAUGAAAGCUAUAAAAUUAUAUGCACAUAAGCCGUCUGAUCAACACUCUGUACACGGUCGUAGCCCCUCAGUUUACAAGAUUAAAAAAUAUAUAAUCAUCCUUAUACACGGCUGUACCCCCUCAGUGUAUAAUAGGUACCCUUACACACGACCGUAGCCCCUCAGUGGAUAAGAGUUACCCUUAUAAACGGCUGUAGCCCCUCAGUGUAUAAGGGUUAGAUACAUAACUCUAGUACACGACUGUAGCCCCUCAGUGUAUAAGAUGGAAACAACAUAAUCAUCCUUAUACAUGGUCGUAGCCCUUCAGUCUAUAGAAGUUAAAUACAUGACUCUAGUACAUGGCCGUAGCCCCUCGGUACACUAGAGUAAGAUAAUCACAUCAAUUAUUUAAUGAUAAUUUCAAAGCAAUCAUGCUCAUUUACUAAUUCUCUAAAAUAAGGCAUUUCAUGUAAUUAACAUGCUUCUAUAAAAUAAAAAGGAAAUCUUCUUUUUGAAAACGUAGAUUUUUCACUCACAGAUCAAUGAAUAGCAAUCUGGUUCAAUUUUACCAGCCUUGCCUAGCUUUCACGUUACCACCUGACAUACGAUAUAAAAUAACUAAUUUAACAACUUCCAUACUAAGUAUUUCUUAAUACUAGUAAUUGAAUACUAAAACUUGCCUUCUCGAUACUUGAAUAAUAUUUUCCCCAAUUUCCUUUAAUCACUUCAUGCUAAUUCCACAUUCUAGUGCAUUUCUUAAUAGCUAAUCGAUUACAAUAAUCUUCACUCCAAACAUAAAAAUAAUUCCUUCUUUCAAACUAGUAAAAUUAAUAAUCAUAAUUUAACCAAUUUAAUUUCCCAUCUUGAUCCAUAAAUUCAUGCCUUCAAAUGAGUAUUUCAUCCUUACAAAUUUUCCCGUUAGCUAAACUCAUUCAAAAGCCCAAAUGAAAGUUCUAGGAUUUUGCCCAAAAUUGGUAUUUCUUACCUUAGUGUAAAUAGCAUCUCCAAUUCAAAAAUAUUGACUUGAAAACAAAUAUAUUCCUUCCUUAAAAUCUGAAAAUUAAACAAAUAAAAUCAAAACUCUAAAAAUUUAAGCAUAAAACAUACC
rnacentral:lncRNA from 1 species